GGGGAUAAGGUUCAGUGGUAAAAUGUCUGUUUUGCAUUGCGGAGGUCCUCGGUUCAAUCCCCAACAUCUCCA
rnacentral:tRNA from 1 species